rnacentral:lncRNA from 1 species
GAGGAUCAGUGGUACAACAGUAGUGUAAGCCACAGCAAAUAGUUCCAACAGCAACAGCAGUAAACCAGUAUCAAACAGUAGCAAGAAUUCCAGGAACAGAUUAAAACCCAACAAUAUCAGAAAACCAACGCAAGCAAAUCAGAAGAGAAACAACCACAAAAAGGCCUCACUUUCAGUGCAUAAGCUCUCACAAAUUAACUGACUUCUUGAUGUCAAAAUUCAGCCUUAAAUUCCCCUUAAGUUCUGAAAUUCUUUUCUCAAAAAAUUUAGUUCACUCUCUAAAAUUCAGUUUUAAGCUCUCAAUUUUUC